GAUGAACGCUGGCGGCGUGCCUAAUACAUGCAAGUCGAGCGAACAGACGAGGAGCUUGCUCCUCUGACGUUAGCGGCGGACGGGUGAGUAACACGUGGAUAACCUACCUAUAAGACUGGGAUAACUUCGGGAAACCGGAGCUAAUACCGGAUAAUAUAUUGAACCGCAUGGUUCAAUAGUGAAAGACGGUUUUGCUGUCACUUAUAGAUGGAUCCGCGCCGCAUUAGCUAGUUGGUAAGGUAACGGCUUACCAAGGCAACGAUGCGUAGCCGACCUGAGGGGGUGAUCGGCCACACUGGAACUGAGACACGGUCCAGACUCCUACGGGAGGCAGCAGUAGGGAAUCUUCCGCAAUGGGCGAAAGCCUGACGGAGCAACGCCGCGUGAGUGAUGAAGGUCUUCGGAUCGUAAAACUCUGUUAUUAGGGAAGAACAAAUGUGCAAGUAACUAUGCACGUCUUGACGGUACCUAAUCAGAAAGCCACGGCUAACUACGUG
rnacentral:rRNA from 1 species